CUUUAAAAAUCUGGAUCAAGCUGAAAAUUGAAACGACACACAGUGAAUGUGUGUUCGAGUCUCUCAAAUUUUCGCGACACGAUGAUGUUUCACGAAACAUCUUCGG
rnacentral:sRNA from 13 species